CAAGAUUCCAAAUUAUCUGAGGUAAAUUGUUGGAAAGUUAUAUAUGGUACACAUGGAUAGUUUCAUUGUACUUGUCAUUCAAGUAUAGUAUUUGCAAAAUUCAAUUAAUUUUUGUAAUAAAAGUCUUUUAUUAUAUAAUUUAAUCAUCAUUAUAAUCAAGAAGUACAAGAGAUGGCAACUUGUUAAGCUUAUUUUUGAACUAUCAACAGGAAUUUUUAUUCUGGAGACCAAAUACAUUAUGAAUACGAAGAGACAUUGGUCCCUACUGACAUUGUUAAACAACGUGAUAAGUUUAGCAAAGUUGAAGAACCCCCCUUCUAUGAAAAUUCGUGUUCUGCAUUUGGAAGAUUCAAAUGGAUAUUUCAAGUGUUCAUUGCUAGUGAAAUGUUGCCCCCUUAGCAUCAUCAUCAAAGCUGUAGGAAAAUUGUCAAGACAUUCCCACCCAAACUUGGGAAUAUGGUUUACUGUUACUGCUGCCAUAUGGGGUGUCAUGCUGUCAUCAAGAUGUAUAGUGCCAAAUGUACUACAUGUCCAUUCAUAGUGACCAAUUGUCUACAUAUUGCUAGGAGGAGGAUCCAGUACCAGCAUAUAACGGAUGAUAUAUAUUUUAUAUGCAAAAAUUAUUUUUUGACUAUCCUCAUAGAUAUAAUGUGAUGAUAUAUACUUUAUUUUACUUGAAAAUAAAGUAUAUAUUAUCACAUUAUAUCUAUGAGGAUCGUCAAAAAAUAAUUUUUGCAUAUAAAAUAUAUAUCAUC
rnacentral:lncRNA from 1 species